UUUCCAUUAUAUCAUUUUUUAGCCAGUUUCUUAUUUGAGUUUUUUAUUUGGACUUACUGCUUUUUCCUUACAAUAUCUCAACUCUACGCCCAUAUACCAUGGCUGAUAAGUACUUAAACAUCCUUGAGUUGACCUUAUUCUUGGCUGAUUUUGUGGAAUUACCUUCAUAACAUCUCAACUGCCAAUUGUUACAAAUGCACACAUAUCUCUCUACAACAGUAGGAACUGAACCCAGGUACACCUGUUGUGCUCUCAUAUUAUUCUUGUUUCAGGCCUCCUUAACUACAAUGCUGGGAUGGCACUGCACAUCUGAAGUUUGAAGAUACAGAGGAUGGAAGGAAUCCCAGAAUACAUAUUUAUUGGCAUCUGUACAAGUGAAAGGGUUGAAUUUGUCACAUAUGUAACCCAUCUCAAGCAAGCCAGUUGCACAACAUACUAUUGUUGCUUUGUCAAAUCCUGUCACAAGGAAUACUAACAUAUUAAUUUCAGCACAGCAAAGCCGGAUGUUGUUGAGUUUGUCCUGGCUUUGCAGGAAGCUCGAUGCUUUUCUGUUGUUCUGGAAUGUUGUGCUUGCACCUGUUAUUGCUUCUGCAACAUCUACUCUUUGAAUCCCUACAAUUGGUAUUGGGACAGGACCUUUCUGUAUUGGCCAAGUUAAUUCCUUGCCCAUAAACCCAUCUCAAGCAAACCUUCAAUGUAGCAACAUUUAAAUUAUAUGAAGUCUCAUACUCUAAAUAGAAAAGAUUCGAUGGAAGAAUUAGUUGUAGAUUA